AGCAGCCGCGGUAAUUCCAGCUCCAAUAGCGUAUAUUAAAGUUGUUGCAGUUAAAAAGCUCGUAGUUGAAUUUCGGGACUAAUAUGUCGGUCGUGCCUCGGUACGCACUGGCUUAUUGGUUUCUCCUUCUGAAGAACCUCGAUAUCAUUAAUUUGGUGUCUUGGGGAAUCAGGACUGUUACUUUGAAAAAAAUUAGAGUGUUUAAAGCAGGCUCGCGCUUGAAUACAUUAGCAUGGAAUAAUGAAAUAGGACGUUUGAUUCUAUUUUGUUGGUUUCUAGGAUCGACGUAAUGAUUAAUAGGGAUAGUUGGGGGCAUUAGUAUUCAAUUGUCAGAGGUGAAAUUCUUGGAU
rnacentral:rRNA from 1 species